rnacentral:rRNA from 1 species
AUUGAACGCUGGCGGCAGGCCUAACACAUGCAAGUCGAACGGUAACAGGAAGAAUCUUGCUUCUUUGCUGACGAGUGGCGUACGGGUUGGUAAUGUCUGGGAAACUGCCUGAGGGAUGGGGAUAACUACUGGAAACGGUAGCUAAUACCGCAUAACGUCGCAAGAUCAAAGAGGGGGACCUUCGGCCCUCUUGCCAUCGGAUGGGCCCAGAUGGGAUUAGCUAGGAGGUGGGGUAACGGCUCACCUAGGCGACGAUCCCUAACUGGUCUGAGAGGAUGACCAGCCACACUGGAACUGAGACACGGUCCAGACUCCUACGGGAGGCAGCAGUGGGGAAUAUUGCACAAUGGGCGAAAGCCUGAUGCAGCCAUGCCGCGUGUAUGAAGAAGGCCUUCGGGUUGUAAAGUACUUUAAGCGGGGAGGAAGGGAAUAAAGUUAAUACCUUGCCUCAUUGACGUUACCCGCAGAAGAAGCACCGGCUAACUCCGUG